GUGAGAUACUGGAGGAAGGUGGGGAUGACGUCAAGUCCGCAUGGCCCUUAUGGGCUGGGCCACACACGUGCUACAAUGGCAAUGACAAUGGGAAGCAAGGCUGUAAGGCGGAGCGAAUCCGGAAAGAUUGCCUCAGUUCGGAUUGUUCUCUGCAACUCGGGAACAUGAAGUUGGAAUCGCUAGUAAUCGCGGAUCAGCAUGCCGCGGUGAAUAUGUACCCGGGCCCUGUACAUACCGCCCGUCACACCCUGGGAAUGGGUUUCGCCCGAAGCAUCGGACCAAUGAUCACCCAUGACUUCCGUGUACCACUAGUGCCACAAAGGCUUUUGGUGGUCUUAUUGGCGCAUACCACGGUGGGGUCUUCGACUGGGGUGAAGUCGUAACAAGGUAGCCGUAGGGGAACCUGUGGCUGGAUUGAAU
rnacentral:rRNA from 1 species